AUUGAACGCUGGCGGCGUGCUUAACACAUGCAAGUCGAUCGGUAACAGGUGUAGCAAUACAUGCUGACGAGAGGCGGACGGGUGAGUAAUGCUUGGGAAUCUGCCUAUUAGUGGGGGACAACCCGGGGAAACUCGGGCUAAUACCGCAUACGCUCUACGGAGGAAAGCCGGGGACCGCAAGGCCUGGCGCUAAUAGAUGAGCCCAAGUCGGAUUAGCUAGUUGGUAGGGUAACGGCCUACCAAGGCGACAAUCCGUAGCUGGUCUGAGAGGACGACCAGCCACACCGGAACUGAGACACGGUCCGGACUCCUACGGGAGGCAGCAGUGGGGAAUAUUGGACAAUGGGGGCAACCCUGAUCCAGCGACGCCGCGUGGGUGAAGAAGGCCUGCGGGUUGUAAAGCCCUUUCGGUGGGAAGAAAAGUCUCGACCUAAUACGUCGGGACCUUGACGUAACCCACUAAAGAAGCACCGGCU
rnacentral:rRNA from 1 species